UGCCAGCCGCCGCGGUAAUACGGGGGGAGCAAGCGUUAUCCGGAAUCAUUGGGCGUAAAGAGCUCGUAGGCGGUUCAGCAAGUCGGCUGUGAAAUUCCGAGGCUCAACCUCGGAACUGCAGUCGAUACUGCUGUGACUCGAGUCCGGUAGAGGAGAAUGGAAUUCCCGGUGUAGCGGUGAAAUGCGCAGAUAUCGGGAGGAACACCAGUAGCGAAGGCGGUUCUCUGGGCCGGCACUGACGCUGGGGAGCGAAAGCGUGGGUAGCAAACAGGAUUAGAUA
rnacentral:rRNA from 1 species